ACUUCCGGCCGGCGGCGGCUGCUCCGGCCCCUGAAGUGCUGUGCCUGGAGAUACCAUUGUGGACCCUGGAGAGGCACCUGCUGCUUAUGCGGUAAAACCUCUACCACCCCAAACCUGGUCAGUUUGAGGGGAGCCGCUGCCAUAGUAUCCACAGAGAAGGCCGGAGUUCCAGCCGUGUGGAGCAGCAGAGGGGAGUCUGACAGGGUCACCUCCUCCACAGAGAGAAUUGGCAGCUGACUGCACUGCCAGGAGCCAAGGCCUAGGUGUGUGGAGCCUGGAAGACCAGGGAUACCUGAGGCAGGAGGUGCAGCGUGUGGAGUGAGAAACCCGAGAGGGACUGGGGCCUGUGCUCAGGAUCAGCAGAGCAGGCAGGCAGAGUGGAGAGGGAGAGACGGAGCCCCAGAAGGGGAGCAGGAGGAGAGGGAAGUAGUGGCAGCAGCCCAGGCCAGGCGUGUGUCCUGCAAGUGCUAGGACCAGCCACCCCUCCCCAUGGCCUCCAAGCCGGCUGCCGGGAAGAGCAGAGGGGAGAAGCGGAAGAGGGUGGUGCUGACACUGAAGGAGAAGAU
rnacentral:lncRNA from 1 species